AGUGAACGCUGGCGGUAGGCCUAACACAUGCAAGUCGAACGGCAGCACAGUAAGAGCUUGCUCUUACGGGUGGCGAGUGGCGGACGGGUGAGGAAUACAUCGGAAUCUACUUUUUCGUGGGGGAUAACGUAGGGAAACUUACGCUAAUACCGCAUACGACCUACGGGUGAAAGCAGGGGAUCUUCGGACCUUGCGCGACUCAUUGAGCCGAUGUCGGAUUAGCUAGUUGGCGGGGUAAAGGCCCACCAAGGCGACGAUCCGUAGCUGGUCUGAGAGGAUGAUCAGCCACACUGGAACUGAGACACGGUCCAGACUCCUACGGGAGGCAGCAGUGGGGAAUAUUGGACAAUGGGCGAAAGCCUGAUCCAGCAAUACCGCGUGGGUGAAGAAGGCCUUCGGGUUGUAAAGCCCUUUUGUUGGGGAAGAAAAACAGCAGGUUAAUACCCCGCUGUUCUGACGGUACCCAAAGAGUAAGCACCGGCUAACUUCGUG
rnacentral:rRNA from 1 species